rnacentral:hammerhead_ribozyme from 1 species
GCACUGCUGACGAGUCCCAUAAUAGGACGAAACAGCUAUCCAGUGC